AUUGAACGCUGGCGGCAGGCCUAACACAUGCAAGUCGAACGGUAGCACAGAGAGCUUGCUCUUGGGUGACGAGUGGCGGACGGGUGAGUAAUGUCUGGGAAACUGCCCGAUGGAGGGGGAUAACUACUGGAAACGGUAGCUAAUACCGCAUAACGUCUUCGGACCAAAGAGGGGGACCUUCGGGCCUCUUGCCAUCGGAUGUGCCCAGAUGGGAUUAGCUAGUAGGUGGGGUAAUGGCUCACCUAGGCGACGAUCCCUAGCUGGUCUGAGAGGAUGACCAGCCACACUGGAACUGAGACGCGGUCCAGACUCCUACGGGAGGCAGCAGUGGGGAAUAUUGCACAAUGGGCGCAAGCCUGAUGCAGCCAUGCCGCGUGUAUGAAGAAGGCCUUCGGGUUGUAAAGUACUUUCAGCGAGGAGGAAGGCAUUGUGGUUAAUAACCGCAGUGAUUGACGUUACUCGCAGAAGAAGCACCGGCUAACUCCGUGCCAGCAGCCGCAGUAAGAC
rnacentral:rRNA from 1 species